rnacentral:rRNA from 1 species
GUAAUGCCGGAUGCUCCAGUUGACCGCAUGGUCCUCUGGGAAAGCUUUUGCGGUAUGGGAUGGGGUCGCGUCCUAUCAGCUUGAUGGCGGGGUAACGGCCCACCAUGGCUUCGACGGGUAGCCGGCCUGAGAGGGCGACCGGCCACAUUGGGACUGAGAUACGGCCCAGACUCCUACGGGAGGCAGCAGUGGGGAAUAUUGCACAAUGGGCGCAAGCCUGAUGCAGCGACGCCGCGUGCGGGAUGACGGCCUUCGGGUUGUAAACCGCUUUUGACUGGGAGCAAGCCCUUCGGGGUGAGUGUACCUUUCGAAUAAGCACCGGCUAACUACGUGCCAGCAGCCGCGGUAAUACGUAGGGUGCAAGCGUUAUCCGGAAUUAUUGGGCGUAAAGGGCUCGUAGGCGGUUCGUCGCGUCCGGUGUGAAAGUCCAUCGCUUAACGGUGGAUCCGCGCCGGGUACGGGCGGGCUUGAGUGCGGUAGGGGAGACUGGAAUUCCCGGUGUAACGGUGGAAUGUGUAGAUAUCGGAAA